rnacentral:lncRNA from 1 species
UUUUAGUCUCUGAUGCUAGUUUGAGGUGUGGAUAAUUUUUAAACGUUCCUGCAUCCAGUUUAGAGUGAAUCGGCUUCCAACGAUGCGUAAAAUGAUGGGCGAUUUGGAUUUCAAGACAGCACUCGUAAGCAUCUUUGGGAUCCAAUUAUGGCCAUAUCCACGACGUCCAUUUGGGUUGCUAGGUGGGAUUUCACAACCAUGCUUAUUUUCGUCGUUGGAAUCCAAUAAACCCUCCAUCGUCCCAAUCCAGCAAAUCCCCAUCUUCUAUCGUCUGCUUCCUCGACCCUCUUCCUCCUUCUGCUUCCGCUAUUGAGCUUCUAGAAGUGCCCUAAAAACCUUCUACUGUCUUAAAUCUCUGCUACUGCCCAACAUAUUCUCCAUCUGCUCUUAUUCGUCUUAGCGAGCUUCUCCUUCUUCUCCGGCUUCUUCUCCUUCUCCCGAGUAGGUGGAGCACCUUCACCAUCGAUCGAACGUGGAUUUUUUUUUUUGUUUAUCUUAUUUGUAUAUUUCUACAUUUUUAUGCUAUUUUUUAAAUUUUUUAUUUUAUAAUUUCUGAAGGAUCAUCGAAGGGGAAACAGAGUUUGUAGAGAUUGCGAGGUUUUGAAGAUUAGAUAGAACCUUUCCCCUUGUCUGCACUUUAGGUAAGAGCUCCAAUAAUCAUGAGUGAUGAUCUAGGCUGCAAAUUUUUUUCAUUGUACCACAUCCCUUGACCUUUGCAAGCUAUAGAUUUUUCAUUUUUUUCAUAAUCUUGAGCUGAUUUUGGAGAGGUUCUUACUGAUCGGUGUUCUCAUUUUCUGAUUUGAUCUACAAAAUUGUGGAAAAAUUCUCUGAUUUUAAAGCAAGCUGUAGUGUGCCGUAAUCCUCUUCUAAAUUGUUAAUAUUUUGGUCUGCUACUUGAAGCC